AACCAGUAUUUAAUGCACACUUUCUAUGAGCAAAAGAGACUCUGGACUUGAACCCGAAACUGAUGAUUAUAAUAAUAAAAUAGAAUGCUGGUAUCUGGUUUACUGAUUUCCAGUGCAUACUGGCUUCCUGGAAAACAACUCGAAUUACUUAAGACUUUUGUGGAAAGAGAGAAGCAAUCAUAGACAGACUGAUUGGUUUCUUGAUUGAAUGGUUUUCAACUGUGACUCCAGCUGAGGAUUGCAAACUAAGCCUGUAGCAUUACUCCAUCAGCUGCAGUGAGCAGAGUGGGGCUCUCCAGGGAUGGGAAACCUUCAAAGAUCGUCAUCAUCAAAGGACCCUGCUUGAAUCUACAGCCAUUCGCUGCCUUCACUGUGCUAUCCAGUGAGCUUUCCAUUGCUUCUGACACUUGAAAAUCAGAAAUGAAUACUUAUAUCAAGGAAACAACCAUAAAGGGCAUGCUACAGAAUGCAGAAUUUGGGGUCUGCCCUUUGUGAUCAUCAAUAUUUUCAUUUCCUUACACACUGAAUAUUAUAUUAUAUAGAAUGCUUAGAGCUAUGCUUUCUUAGAAUCAGUCUGUGAGAGACGCAAGGGUGACUAAUUGUCACCCUCUUUUAAAGAUUAAGGUGAGAUUUAAAGAUGUCAAUCCACUUGCCCCUUGUUGUAGGACAAAUAAAUAAUGGAGAAGGGUCUGGAUCUAAGUUGUGUUUUUCAAAAAUUCCAAGGUGAGUGUCCUUUAACUACACAACACUAAAGAGUUACCAUGCAGCAGGACAAAAUGUAAGGAUAACUAUCCCACUCAUCUAUUUUUAACUAAUGUUACUUGCCUUCCUUCCCCCAAGCAGCUAUAUGACAGUGUUUACUUAACUACUCCUUCAUGAUAAGUAACUUUUAUCAUAUGUUUCCUGGGGGGUUAUAAAUUUGUUCUGUUUAGCUUUCUAGAAGUAACUCAAAAGAAGGUCAUUUAUAUACUUAUAUAUAUUGCUCUGAGCUAUUUUUCAAAAUUAUGGGCACUCACCUCACCAUGUAGGGAUAGCAUAGAAACAUAUCUUUGCAGUCUUCUCUAAUAAAAUCCUAUGAAGUGACUUUUUUAAAAAAAUUGGCUGUGUAUUUUGCAGCAGCAAAAUUUUAUGAACAGAACAUAUUUGCGACCUGACGAAAUCAGCCCUGGUAUUUGCUAGAUGUUUUUAGGCAUUAUCUAAUGUACUACUUGAAAUACUCAUUUGCAGAUAGAUACCAUUAUUGUAUUUUAUUAGUGAUAAUGCACACUCUGCUAUCUAAAUAAUCUGUUUUACUUCACCUGGUCAAUAAAUGUGCUGAAGUUUGAACA